rnacentral:rRNA from 1 species
GGGGGGGGGGGGGGGGGGGGGGGGGGGGGGGGGGGGGGGGGGGGGGGGGGGGGCGGGCGGGGGGACGCGGGGGGCGGACGGGGGAGGAACGCGUGGGGGGUCGGCCCUGCACUGCGGGAUAAGCCUGGGAAACUGGGGCUAAUACCGGAGAGGACGAUGGUUUGGAUGCCAUUGUGGAAAGUUUUUCGGUGUGGGAUGAGCUCGCGGCCUAUCAGCUUGUUGGUGGGGUAAUGGCCUACCAAGGCGUCGACGGGUAGCCGGCCUGAGAGGGUGUACGGCCACAUUGGGACUGAGAUACGGCCCAGACUCCUACGGGAGGCAGCAGUGGGGAAUAUUGCACAAUGGGCGCAAGCCUGAUGCAGCGACGCCGCGUGGGGGAUGACGGCCUUCGGGUUGUAAACUCCUUUCGCUAGGGACGAAGCGCAAGUGACGGUACCUGGAGAAGAAGCACCGGCUAACUACGUG